UGAAACAACUAAUCGAUUUAAUCGAUUAUAAUCGAUUAUUAAAAUAGUUAACAACUUUUUUAGUCAUCGAUUAGUUGUUUAAUAAUCAUAUUUUACCGCAUAAAGUCUAUUUUUACCACAAUCUGACAUCGGUUACAAGCUGUUAAAUUUGCCGCCAGUGUGUGGCAGUAAUGAGCCACUGAUCUACCAGUGGAGCCGUAGAAGAAGAAAUGAGCCAAUGAGUGCCCUCGGUUUUCAUGACGUAUCACGUUACUGACGCUCAUCUUGCUGUGAGAGAUGGCGGAACAAGAGGAAAUACGGAAGAAAAAUAGAAGCGACAAAAUUUUAGAGAAACCCCGGACAAAAACCUCACGAGUAUGGGAGCACUUCACUAGAUGCAUUGAAAAGGCAAAAUAUGCAAAAACCAUUAGCAUGGCACGGAAGCACGACGUCCCUAAGUGAACAUUUGAGACAAAAACGUGGGGGCUGAGGAAGAGCACCGCGGUCAAGUGAGCCGUCAUUUGGAAGAGCCAGCCCGAAAAAAAACAAGCAACGAUGGACAACUACAUGGGGAAAGAGACACUCACCCCCCAGCAAUUCAUACCACUUACAAACUCUAUUCUAAACAUGCUGGUAAAAGACAUGAGGCCACUAUCCAUGGUGGAAGGAGCAGGCUUCCAGCUAAUGCUAAAAAAUUAUUCUGGACUGAUAUUUUGCACUGUUUAGCUCAUUUUAUACUGCUGACUGUGUUCAUGUGCAAUAAAAUAGAUUGCAGUCAACUGCACAA